GAUUCUGGCUCAGAAUCAACGCUGGCGGCGCGCCUAACACAUGCAAGUCGAACGAGAAAGUGGGGCAACCCAUGAGUACAGUGGCGUACGGGUGAGUAACACGUGGAUGAUCUACCUUCUAGUGAGGAAUAACCCAGGGAAACCGGGGCUAAUACCGCAUAAGCUCGAGAGAGGAAAGUCGCAAGACGCUGGAAGAGGAGUCCGCGGCCGAUUAGCUAGUUGGUAGGGUAAGAGCCUACCAAGGCAAAGAUCGGUAGCCGGCCUGAGAGGGCACACGGCCACACUGGCACUGAAACACGGGCCAGACUCCUACGGGAGGCAGCAGUGGGGAAUCUUGCACAAUGGGGGAAACCCUGAUGCAGCGACGCCCGCGUGAGCGAUGAAGCCCUUCGGGGUGUAAAGCUCUUUCGGCAGGGACGAUAAUGACGGUACCUGCAGAAGCAGCUGCGGCUAACUACGUGCCAGCAGCCGC
rnacentral:rRNA from 1 species